GCAAUUCGAUUAUCGUGGAUUUGAGGAGGUUUGCUGUUGAGCUGUGCACGUAUCCAACCCCUACAUGUAUCCAUCGAGAUCAAUCUUGAAUCGUUCUUCUUGUGGUAGAUUCAUCUUCUCUAAGAUGAUUUACAGUCCUUCUGGAUCUUAGAUCAACUCUUGAUCCUCCUUAUGAUCUCAACACUUGAGAACUUGCUUUUUUCUCUUCUUGGCAUAGAAUAGGACUUGCCUAACCGCCUUAGGUGUGUGGAGAUGGGAACGUCCAACACUUUGGGUGUGCAAGGG
rnacentral:lncRNA from 1 species